rnacentral:rRNA from 1 species
CAGCACGGGAGCAAUCCUGGUGGCGAGUGGCGAACGGGUGAGUAAUAUAUCGGAACGUGCCCAGUCGUGGGGGAUAACGCAGCGAAAGCUGUGCUAAUACCGCAUACGAUCUCUGGAUGAAAGCGGGGGACCUGCAAGGGCCUCGCGCGAUUGGAGCGGCCGAUAUCAAAUUAGCUAGUUGGUGGGGUAAAAGCCCACCAAGGCGACGAUCUGUAGCUGGUCUGAGAGGACGACCAGCCACACUGGAACUGAGACACGGUCCAGACUCCUACGGGAGGCAGCAGUGGGGAAUUUUGGACAAUGGGCGAAAGCCUGAUCCAGCAAUGCCGCGUGCAGGAUGAAGGCCUUCGGGUUGUAAACUGCUUUUGUACGGAACGAAAAGGUUUGCCCUAAUACGGCGAGCCCAUGACGGUACCGUAAGAAUAAGCACCGGCUAACUACGUGCCAGCAGCCGCGGUAAUACGUAGGGUGCGAGCGUUAAUCGGAAUUACUGGGCGUAAAGCGUGCGCAGGCGGUGAUGUAAGACAGAUGUGAAAUCCCCGGGCUCAACCUGGGACCUGCAUUUGUGACUGCAUCGCUAGAGUACGGCAGAGGGGGAUGGAAUUCCGCGUGUAGCAGUGAAAUGCGUAGAUAUGCGGAGGAACACCGAUGGCGAAGGCAAUCCCCUGGGGCCUGUACUGACGCUCAUGCACGAAAGCGUGGGGGAGCAAACAGGAUUAG